rnacentral:rRNA from 1 species
CGAAGCGAAGCAGUGAUGUGAAGCAAAUCGCACCAAAGCCAGUCCCAGUUCGGAUAAGAGGCUGAAACUCGCCUCUUUGAAGUCGGAAUCGCUAGUAAUCGCAGAUCAGCAUGUUGCGGUGAAUACGUUCCCGGGUCUUGUACACACCGCCCGUCAAACCAUGAGAGUCACCAACACCCGAAGUCCGCCUUGGCGGCCUAAGGUGGGGGAGAUGAUUGGGGUUAAGUCGUAACAAGGUAUC